ACUCCUACGGGAGGCAGCAGUGGGGAAUUUUGGACAAUGGGCGCAAGCCUGAUCCAGCCAUGCCGCGUGAGUGAUGAAGGCCCUAGGGUUGUAAAGCUCUUUCAACGGUGAAGAUAAUGACGGUAACCGUAGAAGAAGCCCCGGCUAACUUCGUGCCAGCAGCCGCGGUAAU
rnacentral:rRNA from 1 species